rnacentral:rRNA from 1 species
GACGAACGCUGGCGGCGUGCUUAACACAUGCAAGUCGAACGGAAAAGCCCUGCUUUUGUGGGGUGCUCGAGUGGCGAACGGGUGAGUAACACGUGAGUAACCUGCCCUUUACUUUGGGAUAACUUCAGGAAACUGGGGCUAAUACCGGAUAGGAGCUCCUGCUGCAUGGUGGGGGUUGGAAAGUUUCGGCGGUUGGGGAUGGACUCGCGGCUUAUCAGCUUGUUGGUGGGGGAGUGGCUUACCCAGGCUUUGACGGGUAGCCGGCAUGGGAGGGUGACCGGCCACAUGGGGACUGAGAGACGGCCCAGAGGGCUACGUGAGGCAGCAGGGGGGAAUAUGGCACAAUGAGCGGAAGCCUGAUGCAGAGGCGCCGCGUGCGGGAUGACGGUCUUCGGGGUGGAAAGCGCUUUCGCCUGUGACGAAGCGGGAGUGACGGUAAUGGGUAAAGAAGCACCGGCUAACUACGUG